rnacentral:rRNA from 1 species
AGAGUUUGAUCCUGGCUCAGAAUCAACGCUGGCGGCGUGCCUAACACAUGCAAGUCGAACGAGAAAGUGGAGCAAUCCAUGAGUACAGUGGCGCACGGGUGAGUAACACGUGACUAACCUACCCUUGAGUGGGGGAUAACUUCGGGAAACCGAGGCUAAUACCGCAUAAUACCUACGGGUCAAAGGAGCAAUUCGCUUAAGGAGGGGGUCGCGGCAGAUUAGUUAGUUGGCGGGGUAAUGGCCCACCAAGACAGUGAUCUGUAUCCGGCCUGAGAGGGCACACGGACACACUGGAACUGAAACACGGUCCAGACUCCUACGGGAGGCAGCAGUGGGGAAUUUUGCGCAAUGGGGGAAACCCUGACGCAGCAACGCCGCGUGGAGGAUGAAGUCCUUCGGGACGUAAACUCCUUUCGAUCGGGACGAUAAUGACGGUACCGAGAGAAGAAGCCCCGGCUAACUUCGUGCCAGCAGCCGCGGUAAUACGAGGGGGGCGAGCGUUGUUCGGAAUUAUUGGGCGUAAAGGGUGCGUAGGCGGUUUGGUAAGUCUGAUGUGAAAUCUAUGGGCUCAACUCAUAGUCUGCAUCGGAAACUGCCGGGCUUGAGUAUGGGAGAGGUGAGUGGAAUUUCCGGUGUAGCGGUGAAAUGCGUAGAUAUCGGAAGGAACACCUGUGGCGAAAGCGGCUCACUGGACCAUAACUGACGCUGAUGCACGAAAGCUAGGGGAGCAAACAGGAUUAGAUACCCUAGUAGUCC